GGCCCGUUCGUCUAGUCGGUUAGGACGCCAGGUUUUCAUCCUGGAAAUCAGGGGUUCGAGUCCCCUACGGGCUACAA
rnacentral:tRNA from 2 species